AUUGAACGCUGGCGGCAGGCCUAACACAUGCAAGUCAAGCGGAUGAGAGAAGCUUGCCUUUCGAUUUAGCGGCGGACGGGUGAGUAAUGCCUAGGAAUCUGCCUGUUAGUGGGGGAUAACUCGGGGAAACUCGGGCUAAUACCGCAUACGUCCUACGGGAGAAAGUGGGGGAUCUUCGGACCUCACGCUAACAGAUGAGCCUAGGUCGGAUUAGCUAGUAGGUGAGGUAAUGGCUCACCUAGGCGACGAUCCGUAACUGGUCUGAGAGGAUGGACAGUAACCCUGGAACUGAGACACGGUCCAGACUCCUACGGGAGGCAGCAGUGGGGAAUAUUGGACAAUGGGGGAAAGCCUGAUCCAGCCAUGCCGCGUGUGUGAAGAAGGUCCUCGGAUUGUAAAGCACUUUAAGUUGGGAGGAAGGGUAUUCAUCUAAUACGUGGGUACUUUGACGUUACCAACAGAAUAAGCACCGGCUAACUCUGUGCCAGCCGCCGCCGUAAUAC
rnacentral:rRNA from 1 species